UCAGGAUGAACGCUGGCGGCGUGCCUAACACAUGCAAGUCGAACGGAGUUACUGAAGGCAAAGCUUCGGCAGAGCCAUUGGUAAACUUAGUGGCGGACGGGUGAGUAACGCGUGGGCAACCUGCCUCAUACUGGGGGAUAACAGUUGGAAACGACUGUUAAUACCGCAUAAGCGCACAGUGUCGCAUGACACAGUGUGAAAAACUCCGGUGGUAUGAGAUGGGCCCGCGCCAGAUUAGCCAGUUGGCGGGUAACGGCCCACCAAAGCGACGAUCUGUAGCCGGACUGAGAGGUCGGACGGCCACAUUGGGACUGAGACACGGCCCAAACUCCUACGGGAGGCAGCAGUGGGGGAUAUUGCACAAUGGAGGAAACUCUGAUGCAGCGACGCCCGCGUGAGUGAAGAAGUAUUUCGGUAUGUAAAGCUCUAUCAGCAGGGAAGAAAGACCCGCAAGGGGGAUGACGGUACCUGACUAAGAAGCCCCGGCUAACUACGUGCCAGCCGCCGC
rnacentral:rRNA from 1 species